GACGGAAGGUGCAAGCGUUGCUCGGAAUCAUUGGGCGUAAAGCGCGUGUAGGCGGCCCGAUAAGUCCGCUGUGAAAGUCCAGGGCUCAACCCUGGGAUGCCGGUGGAUACUGUCGGGCUCGAGUCCGGAAGAGGCGAGUGGAAUUCCUGGUGUAGCGGUGAAAUGCGCAGAUAUCAGGAGGAACACCAAUGGCGAAGGCAGCUCGCUGGGACGUGACUGACGCUGAGACGCGAAAGCGUGGGGAGCAAACAGG
rnacentral:rRNA from 1 species